CGGAGGUACUCGAGUGGCUAACGGGUGAGUAACACGUGGGUGAUCUGCCCUGCACUCUGGGAUAAGCCUGGGAAACUGGGUCUAAUACCGGAUAGGACCGCACUUUAGUGUGUGUGGUGGAAAGUUUUUUCGGUGUAGGAUGAGCCCGCGGCCUAUCAGCUUGUUGGUGGGGUAAUGGCCUACCAAGGCGGCGACGGGUAGCCGGACUGAGAGGUUGGUCGGCCACAUUGGGACUGAGAUACGGCCCAG
rnacentral:rRNA from 1 species